CAGCAGGGGACACUCGGGAAGUGCUGCCUGGCUGAUGGAUCCCACCCUGCCCUCUCCCCCUCCAUCUCCAUCGCCCACAAGUCUCAAAGUUCAAGUGGUUUGGGAUGGAGAAGAGUGUUCCAGACAUGAAAGGGACUAAUAACAACCUAAUCCUGAGCUGUGAUGGACUAAACAUACCCAGCGUGUUCUGAGGUGCACCCAGAGAGAUCCCACAUCCCCCCUGCGCUCUGCAUCCUUUGUGGUGUCUCACAGCACAUGGCCCUGGGUGACACGAGACAUUUCUGGCAGCACCUACAUCAGGUUGUACAAGAACAAAGAGCAUCUGAGUCCAAGGGCCUGGAGCAUCCAGGCUCCCGCGCCGUGAUAAGCACUUACAAGUGCCUGGGAUGGAUCUUGCCAAAAUAUUAUUUUUGAUGCAUAAAAUAUUUCCUCGUUACUGUGAAACACAGCACAGUGCCAGCCUCCGAGGGUGACACUGCUCCUUUUCCUGGCUGCCUGUGGGGGUGUUCAGCUCCAGCAUCGAGUGUGCCUCAUCCCAGUGCUCCUGGUGGCUGGACUGGGGGUGGGAAUUGCUUGUUGGGACUGAGAUCUGGGUGGGCUGGUGGGGGCAGCCCUCAGGACACCUUCUGAGUGGUGCUCAGCUGGGGCUGGCUUCCAGGAGCCUUGGAACUCGCCCAUCAAUUUCCCAGCUGGAGCACAUGGGGUGUCCUGGUUUGGGCAGUGAGUGAAUGCAGCCUCUGGAAUUCUUUCCCCAUCAUGAUGAUCUGACCCCACCAAGAGCUGAGGACCAUCUGCACUCACACAACAGCCCCCAAGAGCUGCUGGGUACCAGGGGCUGCAUGUCAUGAGCUGUUUCUGUUUGAGACACCCCAGAGCCUCCCAAAAAUAACUCUGCUCAGACAACAGGCAAGUGGGAAACACCUGUCCUAUCUUCUUUCUGUCCUUCAUCUUCCUUUAUUUC